rnacentral:rRNA from 1 species
GAUGAACGCUAGCGGCAGGCUUAACACAUGCAAGUCGAGGGGUAGAGGCUUUCGGGCCUUGAGACCGGCGCACGGGUGCGUAACGCGUAUGCAAUCUGCCUUGUACUGGGGGAUAGCCCAGAGAAAUUUGGAUUAUACCCCAUAGUAUUUUCGGUUGGCAUCAACUGAUUAUUAAAGUUUUUCGGUACAAGAUGAGCAUGCGUCCCAUUAGCUAGUUGGUAUGGUAACGGCAUACCAAGGCUACGAUGGGUAGGGGUCCUGAGAGGGAGAUCCCCCGCACUGGUACUGAGACACGGACCAGACUCCUACGGGAGGCAGCAGUGAGGAAUAUUGGUCAAUGGUCGCAAGACUGAACCAGCCAUGCCGCGUGCAGGAUGAAGCAUCUAUGGUGUGUAAACUGCUUUUGUACGGGAAGAAACACUCCUACGUGUAGGGGCUUGACGGUACCGUAAGAAUAAGGAUCGGCUAACUCCGUGCCAGCAGCCGCCGUAAAAC